AGUGCUGUUUUUACUGUUAUUUGCAUUCGGGAUGCAGGGGUCGCUGGUUCAAAUCCAGUCGUCCCGACCA
rnacentral:tRNA from 1 species